AACAUUAUCAGCAUCUGUGCAAUCCAUAGAUUGAUAUCCACGUAGUCACGAGUCCUUAUUACGUAGAAAGUGAAAUAAACUCAAUGCCUACAAGUAUAUGGCACAAUUAGUCAAUUAAGCAGCUCUCUACAAUCUUUCGGGACAAACAAACCAAUAGUUGUCUCAUGGAUCUUUCACAUAUGCAAGAGAAUUACACAGUCGUUCUUGGAACUUUUGCCUUGAUUGUAGUCCUCUACUACAUAUCAUUUUUCUACAAAACCACUGCUACUCCUCCUAAAGCAGGUGGUGCAUGGCCUAUAAUAGGCCACUUCAAAGUUUUUAAUGGUCCUGAUCUUCCCCAUGUAACCUUGUCCUCCAUGGCUGACCGAUAUGGACCCAUCUUCACUGUACGGCUUGGCAUUCGUAACAUCUUGGUGGUGAGUAAUUGGGAAAUAGUUAAGGAUAUCUUUACCACUCAUGAUGUGAUUGUUUCAGACCGUCCGAGUUACAUAGCCACAAAGAUUUUGGGAAAAAACGGUGCUUCUUUUUCAUUCACACCUUAUGGUCCGUAUUGGCGUGGAAUGCGUAAAAUCAUCUCCCAAGAGUUGUUGUCUAAUAGUCGGCUCAACAAGCUUAAGCAUGUUCAAGUGUUUGAACUAGAAAACUCAAUUAAAAACAUGCAUGAGCUUUGGAGGGAGAAGAAAGAUGAGCAAGGGAAAGUGUUGGUGGAAAUGAAGAAAUGGUUUGGGGAAUUAAAUAUGAAUAUAAUUCUUAAAAUGGUAGCCGGAAAAAGGUACACCAGAGGCGAGAGCGAAGAUCAAGAGGAGAUGAUGAGUUGUCGUGAAGUGAUAAGGGAGUGGCUUCACUACCUGGGGUUGUUUUUGCUGGCUGAUGCUCUUCCUUUUCUAGGUUGGUUGGAUUUCAGUGGUUAUAAAAAGAAAAAGAAAAUGAAACGAGUUACAAGGGAACUUGAUUCCAUGCUAGGAAAAUUGCUAGAAGAGCAUCGUCGAAAAAGAUCUUACGGAAAGGCUGCAGAGGUAAAAGACUUCAUGGAUGUGAUGACCAAGAUUGUAGAAGACGACGAUAUAGCGGGUUUCAAUGCUGAUACCAUCAUUAAAGCCACUUGUGAGACAUGAUUUUGAGGUUAGUGUGGGGUUCAUAAGCCAACUUGCCAUAGAUGCGACCUUUUUAACAUCCUUAGUCUCUUAUCGCGGGUAGUGCGGAUACAACCACUACGAUGCUAACAUGGACACUUUCAUUACUACUAAACAAUAGCUACGCUCUCAGAAAGGCACAAGAAGAACUUGAUACACAAGUGGGAAAAAAUAGACAAGUAAAUGAAACAGAUAUACAAAAUCUGGUCUAUCUCCAAGCUGUAGUAAAAGAAACUUUGCGACUAUACCCAGCCACAUUCCUAAAUCCACCAAGAGCCUUCACGAAAGAUUGUACAAUAGCUGGCUACCAUGUCCCCAAAGGCACGUGGGUAAUAGUUAAUACGUGGAAGCUCCACCGUGAUCCAAAGAUAUGGUCAGACCCAUGCGAGUUUAGACCAGAGAGGUUCCUAUCCGCAAACCAUAUGGGCUUAGAUGUAAAGUGGACAAACUUUGACUUGAUUCCUUUUGGAGUCGGCAGAAGGCGUUGCCCUGGAAUUGGUUUGGCAAGUCAAAUAUUACAUAUGGUUUUAGCCACCUUGCUACAAAACUUUGAUUUCUCGAUUCCAAACGAUGCACUUAUUGAUAUGAGUGCGACUCCUGGACUGACAAAUGCCAAGGCAACUUCGCUUGAAGUCCUAGUAUCCUCACGCUUGAAUGCAACUAUAUAAUGUAUACACGUGUGCACAUAUAUAAAUAAAGUCUUGAAAUUGGUGUAAAAUAUCGAUCCUUAUAUUUUGUAUUUCUUUGUUUUGUACUAGUUUUGGAAAUCAUGUUGUAUUUUUUGUAAA